CCUACGGGAGGCAGCAGUGAGGAAUAUUGGUCAAUGGACGAGAGUCUGAACCAGCCAAGUAGCGUGAAGGAUGACUGCCCUAUGGGUUGUAAACUUCUUUUAUAUGGGAAUAAAAUGUUCCACGUGUGGGAUUUUGUAUGUACCAUAUGAAUAAGGAUCGGCUAACUCCGUGCCAGCAGCCGCGGUAAUACGGAGGAUCCGAGCGUUAUCCGGAUUUAUUGGGUUUAAAGGGAGCGUAGGUGGAUUGUUAAGUCAGUUGUGAAAGUUUGCGGCUCAACCGUAAAAUUGCAGUUGAAACUGGCAGUCUUGAGUACAGUAGAGGUGGGCGGAAUUCGUGGUGUAGCGGUGAAAUGCUUAGAUAUCACGCAGAACUCCGAUUGCGAAGGCAGUUCACUGGACUGCAACUGACACUGAGGCUCGAAAGUGUGGGUAUCAAACAGGAUUAGAUACCCGUGUAGUC
rnacentral:rRNA from 1 species